UGGGGAAUAUUGCGCAAUGGGGGAAACCCUGACGCAGCAACGCCGCGUGAGUGAUGAAGGCCUUCGGGUCGUAAAGCUCUGUCAGGUGAGACGAAGUCCUGUUUCUCAAUAGGAAACAGAGGUGACGGUACCACCAGAGGAAGCACCGGCUAACUCCGUGCCAGCAGCCGCGGUAAUACGGAGGGUGCAAGCGUUGUUCGGAAUUAUUGGGCGUAAAGAGCGUGUAGGCGGUUUAAUAAGUCGGAUGUGAAAUACCUUGGCUCAACCAAGGAAGUGCAUCUGAAACUGUUAGACUUGAGUACUGGAGAGGAGAGUAGAAUUCCCAGUGUAGAGGUGAAAUUCGUAGAUAUUGGGAGGAACACCGGUGGCGAAGGCGGCUCUCUGGACUGAUACUGACGCU
rnacentral:rRNA from 1 species